rnacentral:rRNA from 1 species
AUACGUAGGUGGCAAGCGUUGUCCGGAAUUAUUGGGCGUAAAGCGCGCGCAGGCGGUCCUUUAAGUCUGAUGUGAAAGCCCACGGCUCAACCGUGGAGGGUCAUUGGAAACUGGAGGACUUGAGUGCAGAAGAGGAAAGUGGAAUUCCAAGUGUAGCGGUGAAAUGCGUAGAGAUUUGGAGGAACACCAGUGGCGAAGGCGACUUUCUGGUCUGUAACUGACGCUGAGGCGCGAAAGCGUGGGGAGCAAACAGGAUAAGAUACCCUGGUAGUCCACGCCGUAAACGAUGAGUGCUAAGUGUUAGGGGGUUUCCGCCCCUUAGUGCUGCAGCUAACGCAUUAAGCACUCCGCCUGGGGAGUACGGUCGCAAGACUGAAACUCAAAGGAAUUGACGGGG